rnacentral:rRNA from 1 species
AACGCGAAGAACCUUACCACCUUUUGACAUGCCCGGACCGCCUCAGAGAUGAGGCUUUCCCUUCGGGGACUGGGACACAGGUGAUGCAUGGCCGUCGUCAGCUCGUGUCGUGAGAUGUUUGGUUAAGUCCAUCAACGAGCGCAACCCUUGUGAUUAGUUGUAUUUUUCUAAUCAGACUGCCCCGGUAACGGGGAGGAAGGAGGGGAUGAUGUCAGGUCAGUAUUUCCCUUACAUCCUGGGCUAGAAACGCAAUACAAUGGCCAGUACAAUGUGCAGCGAAGCCGCGAGGUGAAGCAAAUCACAUCAAAACUGGUCCCAGUUCAGAUAAGAGGCUGAAACUCGCCUCUUUGAAGUCGGAAUCGCUAGUAAUCGCAGAUCAGCAAGCUGCGGUGAAUACGUUCCCGGGUCUUGUACACACC